rnacentral:lncRNA from 1 species
AACAAUACACCGGUGAGGGAGAUACCAGAAGCCUACGCUUCUGACGCUCCUUACUCAGAACAGAGCCCAGUCCUUGACGGAGCGAAUCCGUCCUGUAACCUGUCGGCCCUCGCCGCUAUAUCACGCGCUAACACGAAGAGGAUUUCCACUUCCAUGCAGCCUACGUAACAUAGACAAGUGAGUGCUGUGUGGCCCUAAGGGGAUCGCACAAGGCAUGUGCGUCUCUUGCUUAAGACAGUUGCAAGGUGGCUGUUGGGGGAAAAGGCUAGUUGCGACCGCCUGUGUUGCAGCUUCCAUACACGACCCUGCAUCUUAUCCCCCAGGGUAAUAAUGACAGACGGUCCCAGAUGGCAUGUGAAGUACUUUCUGGGCUUAUCACGGAAUUUGCAUCCACCGAUGGGUUCUUUUCCGAAAAGUUCGUGAUAUAACAGCACGGGAAAACUCUUCGAAGGUAGGACGACAGGGUGAAUAGUUCUUAAUAAAUAGUUGUUAAUAAAAACAUCUAUUAAUCUGCUCAUCUGCAGCGAUCGGUAGUUGUGUCAACUAUCCAGCAUCGCUUUACCUCUUCCUCCCUCUCGCGGCAGCAUGAGUUGGAGACUGUUGAUCCAUUGAAAGGGAUGAGCAGGGGUGAGCACUUCUCAACCACCUGCCUGUGGAUUGAUGAGACAAUUUACAAAAUCGGCGUAAGGCUGUAAAAUAUCAGCCAUGAUACUGUUCACGUUAUGGGUUUCCAUUCAUAUGCACGAAGUGCAGGGCGUCGGUGUGGUGGGUUGCCGAAAG